rnacentral:tRNA from 1 species
AGCGGAGUAGUUCAGUGGUAGAGCUUCCGGCACUUAUCCGGAUAGACGCAGGUUCGAGCCCUGCCUCCGUUU